UACGAGGGGGGCGAGCGUUGUUCGGAAUUAUUGGGCGUAAAGGGUGCGUAGGCGGUUCCGCAAGUCCUGUGUGAAAUCUUCGGGCUCAACUCGAAGUCUGCACGGGAAACUGCGGGGCUUGAGUGUGGGAGAGGUGAGUGGAAUUCCCGGUGUAGCGGUGAAAAUGCGUAGAUAUCGGGAGGAACACCUGUGGCGAAAGCGGCUCACUGGACCAUAACUGACGCUGAUGCACGAAAAGCUGGGGGGAGCAAAACAGG
rnacentral:rRNA from 1 species